AUUGAACGCUGGCGGCAUGCCUAACACAUGCAAGUCGAACGAGGCCUUCGGGUCUAGUGGCGCACGGGUGCGUAACGCGUGGGAACCUGCCUUUAGGUUCGGAAUAACAGUGAGAAAUUACUGCUAAUACCGGAUGAUGUCUUCGGACCAAAGAUUUAUCGGCAAAGGAUGAGCCCGCGUAGGAUUAGCUUGUUGGUGAGGUAAAGGCUCACCAAGGCGACGAUCCUUAGCUGGUCUGAGAGGAUGAUCAGCCACACUGGGACUGAGACACGGCCCAGACUCCUACGGGAGGCAGCAGUGGGGAAUAUUGGACAAUGGGCGAAAGCCUGAUCCAGCAAUGCCGCGUGAGUGAUGAAGGCCUUAGGGUUGUAAAGCUCUUUUACCAGGGAUGAUAAUGACAGUACCUGGAGAAUAAGCUCCGGCUAACUCCGUG
rnacentral:rRNA from 1 species